AUGGAACUUGCAUUGGAAAAGGUAAUGCCAAACACCACACAUCGCUGGUGCAAAUGGCAUGUUCUUAAAAAGUCCAAAGAAAAGUUGGGAGCAUACUACACAAAGCGAAGUAACUUCAUAGCAGAGUUUCAUAAAAUUGUGAACCACAUGAUCACAGUUGAUGAAUUUGAAAAAGCAUGGUCAGAGCUGAUUGAUAAGUACAGUCUGCAAAAAAACACUUACUUGGCAAACAUAUAUGAAGUCAGAUCAAAAUGGGCCAAACCAUACUUCAAUGGGAAAUUUUGCGCGAAAAUGACAAGCACACAACGCAGUGAGAGUGCAAAUCAUAUGCUCAAAGGAUAUGUCCCAGCAAGCUGCCCGAUGCACUUAUUUGUAAGAGAGUAUAUGAGACUUCUUUUUGACCGAGAAGCAAAUGAAAACUAUGAAGAACGGCGAACAAAAAUAGUGUUACCUGCUAUGAAGCUUAAUUCACCACUAGAAUACCAUGCAAGCAAGAUCUACACUAUCGCAAUGUUAGAGAAAUUUGGUGAUAUCCUAUAUGAAGCACAACAAUACAGAGUAGAGGAGGUUGAAAAAGCAUCAAAAUAUUAUGUACAUCGAUAUAACCCCGAGAAGCAUGCCAAGUGGUGCAAAGUUAUGUACAUAGUGCAUGUGCUUCAAGAUGGGGAAGAGCUUAUCUGUGAAUGUGCUGGCUUCGAGCACACUGGGUUACUUUGCUGUCAUUCACUCAAGGUACCACCUUACUACAUAGAGUGA
rnacentral:rRNA from 1 species